rnacentral:rRNA from 1 species
AUUGAACGCUGGCGGCAGGCUUAACACAUGCAAGUCGAGCGGUAACAGAGAGAAGCUUGCUUCUCUGCUGACGAGCGGCGGACGGGUGAGUAAUGCCUAGGAAUCUGCCUAGUAGUGGGGGAUAACUUGCCGAAAGGUAAGCUAAUACCGCAUACGUCCUACGGGAGAAAGGAGGGGACCUUCGGGCCUUUCGCUAUUAGAUGAGCCUAGGUCGGAUUAGUUAGUUGGUGAGGUAAUGGCUCACCAAGACCGCGAUCCGUAACUGGUCUGAGAGGAUGAUCAGUCGCACUGGAACUGAGACACGGUCCAGACUCCUACGGGAGGCAGCAGUGGGGAAUAUUGGACAAUGGGGGGGAACCCUGAUCCAGCCAUGCCGCGUGUGUGAAGAAGGUCUUAGGAUUGUAAAGCACUUUAAGUUGGGAGGAAGAGCAGUUAACUAAUAUUUGACUGUUUUGACGUUACCGACAGAAUAAGCACCGGCUAACUUCGUG